GAAAAGAAUAUGUUAUAAACCCAAUUCCUUUUUUCUACCAUCCGAAGAAAGUUGAUGGUCAGAAAAUGGACAAUGCAGGAAAAGAAUAUGUCAUAAACCCAAUUCCUUUUUUCUACCAUCCGUAGAAAGUUGAUGGUCAGGAAAUGGAUAAUACAUGAAAAGAAUAUGUUAUAAACCCAAUUCCUUUUUUCUACCAUCCGAAGAAAGUUGAUGGUCAGGAAAUGGACAAUGCAGGAAAAGAAUAUGUUAUAAACCCAAUUCCUUUUUCUACCAUACGAAGAAAGUUGAUAAGUUUCAGUAACAUGUAGAAAUGGAUAAAUCUUUUGUUAUAAAUUUAAAUUUUGAUCGGUCUAUAACUCUUUUAUUUUAUCUCUUAUAAAUAGAUGGUCAGGAAAUGGACAAUGCAGGAAAAGAAUAUAUCAUAAACCCAAUUCCUUUUUUUUACCAUCCGAAGAAAGUUGAUGGUCAGGAAAUGGACAAUGCAGGAAAAGAAAAUGUUAUAAACCCAAUUCCUUUUUUCUACCAUACGAAGAAAGUUGG